rnacentral:rRNA from 1 species
CGCCUGUUUAUCAAAAACAUGUCUUUUUGAUAAUUAUUUAAGGUUUGGCCUGCUCCAUGAGGUGUUAAAUAGCCGCAGUAUUUUGACUGUGCAAAGGUAGCAUAAUCAUUAGUUUUUUAAUUGAAAGCUGGAAUGAAGGGUCGGAUGAGGAAAUGACUGUCUCAUUUUGAUUUAAUUGAAUUUUAUUUUUAAGUAAAAAAGCUUAAAUUUUAUAGAAAGACGAGAAGACCCUAUAGAGUUUAAUAAAUUAAUAGUUUAAUAAUUUUAGGGUUUUAUAAUUAUUAUUUUAUAGUUUAUUUUGUUGGGGUGACAUAAGAAUUGAAUUAACUUCUUUUUAUAUAUACAUAGAUUAGUGGAAAAAUGAUCCUUUUUUUAAGAUUAAAAGAAAAAAUUACCUUAGGGAUAACAGCGUAAUUCUUUCAGAGAGUUCUAAUCGAUGAAAGGGAUUGCGACCUCGAUGUUGGAUUAAAGUUAAUUUUUGGUGCAGAAGCUGAAAUAUUAAGACUGUUCGACUUUUAAAACUUUACGUGAUCUGAGUUUAGACCGG